rnacentral:rRNA from 1 species
UGGGGGAUAUUGCACAAUGGGCGAAAGCCUGAUGCAGCGACGCCGCGUGGGGGAUGAAGGCUUUCGGGUUGUAAACCUCUUUCGCUAUCGAACAAGGCCCGCUUAGGGUGGGGUGAGGGUAGGUGGAGAAGAAGCGCCGGCUAACUACGUGCCAGCAGCCGCGGUAAUACGUAGGGCGCGAGCGUUGUCCGGAAUUAUUGGGCGUAAAGGGCUUGUAGGCGGCUUGUUGCGCCUGCUGUGAAAACGCGGGGCUUAACUUCGCGCGUGCAGUGGGUAAGGGCAGGCUUGAGUGUGGUAGGGGUGACUGGAAUUCCAGGUGUAGCGGUGGAAUGCGCAGAUAUCUGGAGGAACACCGAUGGCGAAGGCAGGUCACUGGGCCAUUACUGACGCUGAGGAGCGAAAGCAUGGGUAGCGAACAGG